GGUGAGGUGGCCUAAAGGUUAUGGCGCCUGGUAUACAUGUUGUUCUCCCGCCUUACAAUUAACACAUCAUCAGGAGACUCCCGGUUCGAAUCCGGGCCUCACCA